UACGUAGGGGGCAAGCGUUGUCCGGAAUCAUUGGGCGUAAAGAGCGCGUAGGCGGCCCGGUAAGUCCGUUGUGAAAGUCAAAGGCUCAACCUUUGAACGCCGAUGGAUACUGCCUGGCUAGAGUCCGGAAGAGGCGAGUGGAAUUCCUGGUGUAGCGGUGGAAUGCGCAGAUAUCAGGAGGAACACCAAUAGCGAAGGCAGCUCUCUGGGACGGUACUGACGCUGAGGCGCGAAAGCGUGGGGAGCGAACAGG
rnacentral:rRNA from 1 species